rnacentral:lncRNA from 1 species
UCUCUUUCAGUGCUGUUGUUCGUGUCCUAAAGAAGGACCUUUCACAGAAAUUUAAGUUUUGUGUGCUUUAAGGUAAGAAAACAUGGUAGUGCUGCUGAAAGCAGUGACUGUGCUUUCUCUGUCAAAUUGUUCCUGUCUCUGUGCUGGUAUCUCCCAGUUGAUCCAGCAGAUCCAGCUGAAAACUUUGCUGGGAGAUGAACUGAGCGAGAGAAAUGAUCCCGGAGGUGUAGCAGCAGGGAUGCACUUGGAGGCACAAGGAAUUGGAGGAUAGGAGUGAUGGGCCAGCUUGGCAGUUUAAAUUGCGUAUGGAAAAGAAAAGUGCAUUCCACUACAGGAAGUCUGCAAGUGGUAUUCUUCGUUUACAGGAGAAUAAAAUGUUACAUGGACUGUCUCACUCUUCCUUCUGUAGAAGGAAAACAAUACUUACAAAAGCAGGUUUAUACUAAUGUCUUUAGACAGACUCUUCCUCUCUUUUCAUUGUGCGAUGUACAGGGUACCACCAUGCAAAGGGGAGACAGUGAUACAGGGGAUGCUACAAAGGCGUGUAACUUUAAUACCACUUGAGAGUUUUUUAUUGUUGUUCCUGUUUUGUUUCUCUAGCUAAAAGAGCAUGUUCAAACUUUCUCAAGUACAUGGAUCAUUUGUACACACACAAUGUAGGUGUUCUUGCCUGGACGUCUCCCUUCAGUUUGCAAGAUCCCAGACAAUCUUUUUCUUGUGUCUAAUUUCUUAAGACCCCACCAGUAGCUAUGACCAUUGAAAAUACUGUAGUGGUGUGAAGUCAUGUAAUACGUUAUUGCUUUUUUGGCUAUAAAAAUAGUUCUUUGUUUUCUAGAAUACCUGUGAUGUGUAAAAACCGAAGGAAAAAACAAGUGAGAGAUCAGCAGGCUAUUUGGUGUCUGUUGUGGCCGGCAGCCUUGGUUCCAGAACAAGCUACUUUGCCUUGUUAACUUGCUGAAGCAACUGUAAGGCUUUGCUUAUCUGUACAUAAAUACAUCAUUCCCACCUCUGAAGUACCAGAGGAACAGAAAUGAACCUGCAGGAUUUGAUAGCAGCAAUAUGCUAAUGUAAAGUUAUUGUCAUGGAGUGGCAUAAUUGUGCUCUUGGUCUCUGAAUAAUAACCCACAUAAGUGGAUUAGCCUGACCCUUGAAAAUGGGUAAUUAGUUGUUAUGUUGGACCUCUGUACUGAAAGAGCUAGAAGAUAAAUUAGGUUGAGGAGGUUUCUAGCUUUGUUUU